CUGUGUCUCUCCUACAGAGCUCGUAGUUACCUUGCAAGUCCCACACUGGAGACUUCAACUAAAAGAGGACUAGAAGAGAGGGAGACUAUUUUUUCACUGCAUAAAGGCCACAACAGUCUUAUAUUGUGUGUGUGUGUGUGUGUGUGUGUGUGUGUGUGUGACUUGAAAAUAAACUACUCUUUUUUUAUUUCUCGUCUUGAAGGCGCCCACCCCCCUCAAAAAAAAAAAAAAAAAAAAAAAAAAAGUGGGGUCGGUCUUUAGUCAGGCGGGUGGAUGAGUUGUGUGGACGUUCUUUCCUGGAUUUUCUCUUCGGGCUGUGUCUUACCGCGGCCAAGAGACGGCAACAGUGUGUGGAAAAGUAGAUUUGUGUGUUAAACAAAUGGCUUCAACGAGGAUAACACGCUGGAUGCUUGGUGAAGCAUGGUGGUGAAGAUGGUUAGAACGCACUUAAUGGGGCCACUGUCAUGGGGCAGGGUCAAAUUGCCGAGUAUAAUGGGAACAGGAAUCCUUUAUCUGCUGCUGCUAUCAACUUGUCUCGGCCAAGACACAGAAGAUUGGCAAUAUGAGGAAUGUAAACUGUCUCGGUCGGGUCCUCCUGCUACCAUCGUUGCCAUAGACGAAGAAAGCCCCAAUGGAACGUUAUUGGUGGAGAACAUGCAGAUAAAUGGAGUGGCUGAGGGUCCAGAUCGUACCAUCUCUCUGUCUCUAAGGGAUAACCAUGACCACUGGGUGAUCCUUGACCCUUCCAAACAAGCCCUUUACCUCAACAGUACCGGACGGGUUCUGGAUAGAGAUCCCCCCUCAUUUAUUCACUCCAUUGUGGUUCAGGUUCAGUGUACCAAUGAGCUGGUUGGCACAGUGAUUUUACAUGAAGUCCGCAUCGUUGUUCGAGACCGCAAUGACAAUGCACCACGUUUCCAACAGCCAAGAUACUAUGUCGCCGUCAGUGAGCUGACGCCGGUAGGAACCACUAUCUUCUCUGGUUUCUGGGGGAACAAUGGGGCAACAGACAUUGAUGACGGUCCCAACGGACAGAUAGAGUACACCAUUCAGUACAACCCGAAAGAACCGACAACAAACAGAACCUUUGACAUCCCUCUGACACUGUUUGGCUCCGUAGUUCUCAGAGAAAGACUCAACUAUGAGGAGACAACACGGUAUCUGGUCAUCAUACAGGCAAAUGACCGAGCCCCCUAUCCCACUGAGCGCCGCACAGCCACCACCACUCUAACUGUGGAUGUACUGGAUGGCGAUGACUUGGGGCCCAUGUUUCUACCAUGUGCGCUUGUGGGAAACACCCGUGACUGUAGUCCCAUCACGUAUAGGGCUAAUGUACUGGAGCUGACAGAGCCGAAAAAGGUGAAUCCCGUCAAUGUGACUCCACCCAUUCAAGCUGUGGACCAAGACAGGAACAUACAACCUCCCUCUGACAGGCCAGGGAUUCUUUACUCCAUCCUCAUUGGCAAACCAGAGUCCUAUGCAGAAUAUUUCAGCUUAAACAGAACCACAGCGGCGCUCCUGCUACUAAAGCCCAUCGAUAGAGAACUCUACCGCAGAUUUGAUCUGGUUAUCAAGGCAGAGCAGGACAAUGGCCACCCCUUGCCAGCAUUUGCCAACCUCCAAAUCGAAGUUCUAGAUGAGAACAACCAGGCACCAUACUUCCAGGAGACGAGUUACCAUGGCUACGUCAGUGAAGCAUCACCAGUGGGAACCACCAUAGCGACCAAUGCCAGCCUGUCUGCACCGCUGGCCAUCAUAGCUCUGGAUAACGAUGUGGAGGAGUCCAGGGAUCCUCAGCUCCAGUUAUCGUUGGACAGCUAUCCUCAUGUUUUCUCUGUGUCUGCUACUGGAAUCAGAAGAUAUCUCACACUGGUGCAGCCACUGGACAGAGAGACACAGGAUUCCUAUACAUUCACGCUUUUAGCAUCAGAUGGCGUCCAGCAGAGCAUUCCGGUUACCGUGACGAUAACAGUGUUGGAUGCUAACGACAACACUCCGACUUUUGCUAAUGUCUCUUAUAAUGUCAACCUGUUUACUGAUAUGAUGCCUGGAGAAACUGUGUUACAGCUGUCAGCAGUUGACUCUGAUGCUGGUCCCAACGGUCAGGUCACCUACCGGAUCCUAGCUGGUGACCAGGGACAUUUUCUUAUUGGCAACAGCACUGGGGUCAUUACUGUGGCACCAGGCGUUGAGCUCACUGUUGGACGGAGCUACGCUUUGACUGUAGAAGCCAUGGACAAUGGGCAUGUACCUCAUAGAAGGUCAUCCAUUACUACAGUCUAUAUCGAAGUUUUGCCCCCAAACAACCAGAGCCCUCCCCGCUUCCCCCGGCAGCAAUACAACCUGGAGAUCAGCGAAGCUAUGAGGACCGGAGCUACACUGCUUAAUCUGCAGGCAGUGGAUCGGGAGAGGGACCCCAUCACCUACAAAAUCCACAGCGGAGACCGCCAUGGACAUUUCGCACUACAGCAGAACUCAGGGUAUUUGGUUCUGGACAAGCCUCUGGACAGGGAGUCUCUGGAUUAUUAUACCCUGGUGAUCACAGCCUCAGACGGACACCCAGAUGGGACCUCCACAGCAACGGUGAACAUUGUGGUGACAGAUGUUAAUGACAAUGACCCGCUAUUCGAUUCUUCACUGCCAGUGAACCUCACUGUCAUCGAGGAGCAGGAUCACGCCUACGUUGGACAGGUCAAGGCUACAGAUCCAGAUCUAGGGACAAGCGGUCAGGUCCAUUAUCGGCUCGUCAACCACCAGAAGCUGUUUUCCAUCAAUGCUACUGGAGCGAUCAGAACUGCCGUACCACUGGACAGAGAGGUGAAAGGUCACUACUUUCUGAUCGUUGAAGCCUGGGAUGGUGCCGUGGACCCUCGGCGAUCCAGAUUAACACUGUCUGUCACUGUUCUGGAUGUAGACGACAACAGCCCGAUAUUCACCCAACAAACUUACAAUGUCGUCUUACCAGAGAACAGCCCCAAAGAUAUAGUCAUAUUACAGUUAAAGGCGAUAGAUGCUGACCUCGGCUCCAACGUCACGUAUCGAAUCAGAACUGACGGCUCGGACCAGGAGAUCGUCCAGCUAUUCCACAUCGACCCAGUGACAGGAGAGCUCUCGGUUCUUAAAAUUCUGGACUAUGAGGCUCUGACUGACUCACAACCCACAUACACAUUCACUGUAGAGGCUAUGGACACAGAGGGAACCAUGCCUCCUGGACUAGCCUCUGUUACUGUCAGAAUCAUGGACAUGAAUGACUUUUCUCCGGUAUUCAGCCAGUCAGUGUACCGAGGCAUGGUUGCCCCUAAUGCUGUCAAGGGAACCAUUGUAACCACAGUGAUGGCCAAUGACUCUGACCCUGCGGGUACCCCAGCAGGUCUAGUGCGCUAUAAAGUGGACCAGGAGGCUUAUCCAUACUCUGCCAGUAUAUUUGAUGUAGAGGAAAAAACUGGAAAUGUGGUAACCAGAGUAAACCUCAAUGAGGAGCCCAACCUCAAGUUCAGUUUGGUGGUGGUGGCCUAUGAUGAUGGUGAGCCUGCAAAAGAGAACACAACUUUGGUUGAGAUUACAGUCCUUCAGCCUUCUGUCAUUCCUGUGUUCACUCAGGAAGAAUACAGGUUUCCACCAGUAAGCGAGGAGGCUGCUGUUGGAACCCCGGUGGGAGCCAUCAUGGCAGCUGCUGUCAAUCAAACUAUCAUCUACUCCAUCAUCGAAGGCAACAAAGGAGGUGUGUUUGCAUUAAAUGAAAUAACAGGGGUGAUUUCCACAGCCAAGCGCCUGGACUAUGAGGCCAGUUCCAGCUACGUUCUGAAGGUAGAAGCAGACUCCAUGAAAGUGGUGUCCUCGAACCUCCGAGCUCCCUCUAAGACUAACACAGCUAAGGUGGUAAUUGAUAUCCAGGAUGAGAACGACCACCCACCAGUUUUCACCACAUCUCUUUACAUUGGAGGGGUUGCAGAAGAUGCUAAAACUUUCACCUCCGUCUUGCAAGUACAGGCGCUGGACCAAGACACUGGUAACUACAGUUCUAUGUUGUACCGGCUGAUCAUUCCUCCUCCUGCUGGUAAAGACACAAAAGAUAGCAAAGACGGCUUUGUCAUCGAACCAUACAGCGGCGUGGUGAAGACGGCAAUCAUGUACCGCAAUAUGAGGAGGUCAUAUUUUAAGUUUGAGGUGGUUGCUACAGACAACUAUGGUCAAGGACACAGCAGCAAGGCGGAGAUAGUGGUGUCAGUCGUGAACCAGCUGGACAUGCAGGUGGUCGUAUCAAAUGUCCCGCCAACUUAUGUAGAGAAAAACAAAGACAAGCUGCUCAGCAUUUUGGAACGCUACGUCCAGGAACAGAUACCGGGAGCAAAGGUUGUCGUGGAAACCAUCGGGCCCCAUCGUCAUGGUGAUGGCAUGGAGCAGGAAGACUAUACCAAGUCGGACCUCAUGAUUUAUGCUAUCGAUCCUCUGACAAAUAGAGCUGUAUCUAGACAGGAGCUCUACAAGUUUCUUGAUGGUAAACUCUUGGACAUCAAUAAAGAGUUCCAGCCCUUCCUCCCUCCUGGUGGACGGAUUCUGGAGAUCCGAACCCCUGAAGUGGUGACCAGUGUAAAGAAAGCUGUGCAGACUGUAGGCUACACAGAGGGGGCGCUGUUGGCUCUGGCAGUUAUUAUCAUCAUCUGCUGUGUCCCCGCCAUACUGAUUGUCAUUAUCACCUACAGACAAUUCAAAGAACGCCAGGCAGAGUGUGCCAAAACAGCCCGUAUUCAGAUGGCACUGCCAACAGGCAAACCUGGGGGAGGCACUGCCAACAACCUGUAUGAAGAGCUGGGUGACAACGCCAUGCGUGGAUACGGACAACAUGAGACACAACAACUUCUCAGACCUUCUCUGCUCAGACCAGAGGAGUUAUCGAUGGAAUCUGGCAUCGACCCUGGCCAGGACUACUACACACAAGAUUAUUACAACUAUGAUCACGGUUAUGAACUUCCUCAGUACGGCAGUCGCAGGAAGCUGAUCUCACCCUCCGGCCUCUACGAUGAAUAUGGAGAAGUUGUUGUUGAUGAUGACGGCAGCUACUACUACAGCCCACAGGAGUCUGACGGAGAGGUGAGGAGACAGUUUCAAGGAGGUAGAUUAGCCCCACACCCUGCCUUCCUCCAGCCCCGUCCUUCACCUUCUCAUGGGCCUUCAAGAAAGAUGCCAGGAGCCCCAAGUACUGAGGGCUACAAAAAACAACCGUCAGAGGGUGAUACAACCAUAAACACGAAGCCUAAGAGGUCAAGUGCAGCCGCCAGGUUGAAGGCCAUGAUGAGGGUGAGCACACUGCUGUCCUCUGGGAGUAAAACAUCCAGGCAACCUCCUACCAUCCACCCACCCUGGAACAAAGCCAGAGUCAGGCCAGUGGAAAAGGGGGAUGUAGUGGGAAAUGGAUUUGAGAGAAGGGAAGCGGGGAAAAGAGAAAACAAAGGGGGAGGGGGAGAUGAAGUGACAGAAAGAGGAAGGGAAAGAGGCGGCAGAGGAGAAAUGGAAACAUGGGGAAGAAGCAACAGAUGUGGCGUGACAAACAAUGGGAUGAGAAAUGCUGUUGAAGGAGGAGAAGGCAUGAGGCCAGAGCAUAGGAGAGAGCUCCCUGGCAUGUCGUCCUCUGGCCACCUUGCCACCCUGGACGGCAGCAUGGUCAUCAACGGGAGUUAUUUCCAGACGUCCCUUGAAGCCAGCAUACCCCCGCCGGUGAAACAAAAGCUGAGUGAGGCCCUCAGUCUUAUCUCCCUCGCCAGAAGGCUCCAGGGACCUGCCAGGGUGGGAGAUGAACAGUGGAGCAAUGGAAAAAGCUGGGACAGAAGAGGGGAAAACAGUGGGGAGAUGUAUGGCUCCGUAGGAGAUAUGAGUGUUUCUGCAUCAGUGUCUGAGAGAGCCGUGGGAGAGGAGAGGAGGAGGUGGGAGAGGGAGUUAGGAGAGGAGAAUAGUUCCUUUGAGGUAUGGUGGAAGAGAGAAAAAAGAUUAUAUGACAGUGAUUCAGAAACAGGAAGGGGCAGCAAAGAGUUUCCAUCAGAAUUGAGUCUCUCCGACACAAGUAGCCCCACCUCGUCUGUUACAGCCGAGCACGCCAAGACCGAAUCUGAUACAGAAACAGAAAAAAAUGAGUCUGACUCAGGAACAGAAAGGGAAGGGGGAACUCCUGACACAGACAAAGAGUCAGAGAGUGGAAGACAAGAUGAGGAGAGAGAAGGGUCAGAGUCUGAGAAAGAGUCAGGGUUAGAGAGUGAGGAUGAAGGAGAAGAGUCGAGCAGAAAAUGCUCAAAAGGUAGUGUUAGUAACAGUUCAGCGAGUAGCAACAGUAUUAGUAGUAAAAGUAGAAGCAGUGGUGCCAACUUAAAGAGAGAAAGCAACAGCCACUCCACAAACAGCAGCAGUGACUCUACAGUUUAUAGUUCUAGGCCCCAAACAUCUAGAUAUUCCCGUUCAUCCCAUGAAACAAUAGAGGAAGAGAGCGAAGAAUCAGGAGAGGAGGAGGAAGACGCAAAAAGCGCUGGAUCUCUAAAGUCUUCGUCGAGCAGGCAAGCCACCAAACACAUCCAAUCAGACAUCGGCUCAGGCGUGAUCGACACCUCGGACGACUUGUCACCCAUCAUCGAGGACACCGAGGAGGAGAGAAGCUGCGGCCAUGGCGAGGAAGGAGAACAGGAUGAAGGAGAGGGGGAUUUGGAAAAUGAGUCGGCUGAUUGAAAUGCAGAUGAGGCCUUAGCCCUCCCAAAGAUAAAAUUCUUUGCUACUAACAUGGCAGCAGAAAACGUCGGAUCAAGUUAGUGGUGGACCGUGAAUAUGAGACCAGCUCCACCGGUGAGGACAGCAUGCCAGAGACCCAACGCAGCCGCUUAUCCUCCACCCUCAACAGCCACGCUAACGUUAACGGCAG